UACAGAGGGGGCCAGCGUUAUUCGGAAUUAUUGGGCGUAAAGGGCGCGUAGGCGGCUUGGCAAGUGGAAGGUGAAAUCCCUCGGCUUAACCGAGGAACUGCCCUCCAAACUGCUUCGCUUGAGACCGGGAGAGGUGAGUGGAAUUCCCAGUGUAGCGGUGAAAUGCGUAGAUAUUGGGAGGAACACCAGUGGCGAAGGCGGCUCACUGGACCGGUACUGACGCUGAUGCGCGAAAGCGUGGGGAGCAAACGGG
rnacentral:rRNA from 1 species